rnacentral:rRNA from 1 species
CAACACGCAUUAUUUUACUUAUUUUAGUUAAUCAGCUUGUAUACCAUCAUUAUAAGAUAAUUUAGGAGAAAAUAUUAUUGAAAUUAUAUUAUUAAGUAUAUUAGAUCAAGGUGCAGCUUAUGAGUAAGUAGAUAUGGGUUACAAUAAAAUUUAUUUAAUACGAAUUAAGUAUUUAAAUAUAUUUAUGAAGGGGGAUUUAAUUGUAAGAGAAGAAGUAGUGAGAUUUUUUGAUAUGAGCUCUAAAUUAUGUACAUAUCGCCCGUCGCUCGG